rfam:Firmicutes bacterium CAG:110 genomic scaffold, scf308
GCUAGAAUAUAGCAGUUGCCAGAGACAGCAGGUGGAGUCAUCCGUAAGUCCUGCCGAGGUGCGCUGAAUAUAAAAUUUCUGCGUGUCUUUCUGUCUUGUGGCAGAAGGACUUUUUUAUUUUCGGA